GACGAACGCUGGCGGCGUGCCUAAUACAUGCAAGUAGAACGCAGUUGCGCACGGGUGAGUAACGCGUAGGUGACCUGCCUCAUAGCGGGGGAUAACUAAUGGAAACGAUAGGUAAUACCGCAUACUGUGAGAUGGACCUGCGUUGUAUGUGGUAGUUGGUGAGGUAAAGGCUCACCAAGGCGACGAUACAUAGCCGACCUGGGAGGGUGAUCCGCCACACUGGGACUGAGACACGGCCCCGACUCCGACGGGAGGCAGUCGGAGGGAAUCUUCGGCAAUGGACGGAAGUCUGACCGAGCAACGCCGCGUUAGUGAAGAAGGUUUUCGGAUCGUUAAGCUCUGUUGAUAGGGAAGCGGUAACUAGCCAAAAAGGAACGGCUAACUACGUGCCAGCAGCCGCGGUAAUUC
rnacentral:rRNA from 1 species